CGCUCAUUGGUCUCAGCAUGAGGAGGAGGCGUGGCCAGCGCGCGCGGGAGGGAGGGAGGGCGAGAGAGCGGGGCCGGCCCGCCCGAGAGACGGUCGGUCUACGAGCGCGGCGGGAGCGCGUUCCAGCUCGGGCCCCGGUGCUAUCCUCCGAUCCGCCGCGCUCCGGCCUGGGGUCUCGGGGCGGGAAGCUCGGUGAAGCGGGCGCGGGGAGCAGGGCGGAGGGGACGAGGCGCGCUGCGCUGCCGCCCGGUCCUCACCGGGUGCUGCGGGCCCCGGGCGCGCGGGGCUCCGCGGCGCGCGCACUAUGCGGGCGGAUUGCCGGCCGCCGCGAUGGCGAGCCGGGCGCCGCUGAGAGCCGCGCGCAGCCCCCAGGGUCCCGGAGGCCCGGCCGCGCCCGCCGCCACCGGCCGGGCCGCGCUGCCCAGCGCCGGCUGCUGUCCCCUCCCUCCUGGCCGCAACUCCUCCUCCAGGCCUCGACUGCUCCUUCUGCUGCUCCUACUGCUCCAGGACGCUGGAGGCCAGCAAGGUGAUGGAUGUGGACACACUGUACUAGGCCCUGAGAGUGGAACCCUUACAUCCAUCAACUACCCACAUACCUAUCCUAACAGCACUGUGUGUGAAUGGGAGAUUCGAGUCAGGACGGGAGAAAGGAUUCGCAUCAAAUUCGGUGACUUUGACAUUGAAGAUUCUGAUUAUUGUCACCUUAAUUACCUGAAAAUCUUUAAUGGAAUUGGAGUCAGCAGAACGGAAAUAGGCAAAUACUGUGGUCUGGGUUUACAAAUGAAUCAGUCAAUUGAGUCCAAAGGCAGUGAAGUCACAGUGCUGUUCAUGAGUGGAACCCAUGCUGCUGGGCGAGGAUUUUUGGCUUCAUACUCAGUUAUAGAUAAAGAAGAUUUAAUCACUUGUUUGGAUACUGUAUCUAAUUUUUUGGAACCAGAGUUCAGUAAGUACUGCCCAGCUGGCUGUCUUUUGCCUUUUGCUGAAAUAUCUGGAACAAUUCCUCAUGGAUACAGAGAUUCUUCACCAUUGUGUAUGGCUGGAAUCCAUGCAGGAGUAGUGUCAAACGUGCUGGGUGGCCAAAUCAGCAUUGUGAUUAGCAAAGGGACCCCAUAUUAUGAAAGCUCUUUGGCCAACAAUGUCACUUCCACGGUGGGAUACUUAUCUGCAAGUCUGUUUACAUUUAAGACAAGUGGUUGCUAUGGGACUCUGGGGAUGGAGUCUGGUGUGAUUGCCGAUCCCCAGAUAACAGCAUCGUCUGCACUGGAGUGGACUGACCACAUGGGGCAGGAGAACAGCUGGACAGCGGAGAAGGCCAGGCUGAGAAAACCCGGGCCUCCCUGGGCUGCUUUUGCCACUGAUGAGCAUCAGUGGCUGCAGAUAGACCUUAACAAGGAGAAGAAGAUAACAGGUAUCGUAACCACUGGGUCUACCAUGAUAGAACACAGUUACUAUGUGUCUGCCUACAGAGUCCUGUACAGUGACGAUGGGCAGAGAUGGACUGUGUACAGAGAACCUGGUGUGGACCAGGACAAGAUAUUUCAAGGAAACAAAGAUUAUCACAAGGAUGUUCGUAAUAACUUUUUGCCACCAAUUAUUGCACGUUUCAUUAGAGUGAACCCUGUCCAGUGGCAACAGAAAAUUGCCAUGAAAGUGGAACUGCUCGGAUGUCAGUUUACUCUCAAAGGUCGCCUUCCAAAGCUUACUCCACCUCCUCGGAACGGCAAUAACCUCAGAAAUACUACAGCUCGUCCCAAACUAGGUAAAGGUCGUGCCCCUAAAUUUACUCAAGUGCUCCAACCUCGAAGUAGGAAUGAACUUCCUGUGCAGCCGGCGGAGACAACUACCACUCCUGAUAUAAAAAACACGACUGUAACUCCCAGUGUAACCAAAGAUGUCGCACUGGCUGCCGUUCUGGUCCCUGUGCUGGUCAUGGCCCUCACCACACUCAUCCUCAUUCUAGUGUGUGCUUGGCACUGGAGAAACAGGAAGAAGAAAACUGAAGGCGCCUAUGAUUUACCCCACUGGGAUCGGGCAGGUUGGUGGAAAGGAAUGAAGCAGCUUCUCCCUGCCAAGUCGGUGGACCACGAGGAGACGCCAGUGCGCUACAGCACUAGUGAAGUCAGUCACCUGAGUGCCAGGGAAGUCACCACAGUGCUGCAGGCCGACUCUGCAGAAAUCUAAAAUAAGACUCAGUCCCUCUUGGGAUUUGAUGAAACAGCAGACGCCAUGAGGCUAGCCAAAGAAUCCAAGACCCACAAUUUAGAGACUGCUGCCACAGGAAAAUAACUACUCAACCAGAAUCCUGUUUUCAGCCUUUGGGAACUCAAGAAUGUGAAAAGGGAAACAGGCCGUGAGAGACGAAACUCAGGAAAACGACUUGUAAGGACCUGAGUUCCACGUCUAGCAUGUGUGUAAAAUGCUAAGUGUGGGAACUUUGACCACACUUGUGAUCCCAUCACUGGAGAGAUGGCAACAGACUGAUCUCCGAUUGGCUGGCCAGACCGCCUACACUGCUAAGUAAAUUCUGUACCAGUGGGAGACUAAAAGAAACUGAGCAGUUAACACUUAACUCUGACCUCCUGAGACACCCACACAUGUAUGCACCUACAAACAUGAACACAAUACAUUUUGUUUUUUAAAGCAGUAAAAGGGGAAAAUUACCUGCUUCAUCAAAGACAUGGUGGCAUUCCCGUAGUAGUGUAAAGGACUGUUGGGGCUGUAAAAGUUGUACUUAAAACCAGCGAGGUGCACUUCACUGCAUAUGUGAAAGGCCAUUGUGAUGGCAAUAAUUCCUGUUGUAGGGUGUUUGGGUUUCUAAGAAGAAAUCAGAAACUUCAAAAGUCAGAAAAAGCUACAUUCUUUCCAAACAUAGUUGGCUGCCCUGGUCUGAUGAAAAUGGAUUUCUAAACAUUAACAGAGACAUUUUCAGCCAUUGUUAUGCCGUAAGACUCAAGCCCCAAAGAGAACACAGUCCUCUGACGAGGAUGUAACACUAUGGUUGAUAUCUUGGAAAGUCUUUAGGUCAGGAGAGUCUGUUCUCUGAUUUGUGCCCUUGUGGACAACACUUCAUUUUUCUCCCUUCUCCAGCCUUUGAGAUUGGAGCAUUCUAACACACUCCCACAACGGUGUGCCACCCCCAGCAUAUGACAGGAACUUCUAGAACAGAGCUAAAAGGGUCUCUUAUUGCGAUGGGAGGCCAAAGCCAGGCAGAUCUCUGAGUCUGAGGCCAGCCUGGUCUACAAAGUGAGUUCUAGGACAGCCAGGGCUAUACAGAGAAACCCUAUCUGGAAAAAUGGGGUAGGGGGAGUUGCUUCCUGAUAUGUGUGUCUGCCUCAGGUAUUUCAUGUGGGUGGACACAGUGCUUGAGACAAUUCUUUUCACUCUUAAAAGCUACAUCCUUGUCCUGAAGCUCUUCUGUACACAAGGCUGCUGCGCAGUCCACUAGUCACUCAGGCCUUGAUGUACAACACUGAGGAUGAGAUUGUAAGAAAUGAACUAUUGGCCAUUCAGAAAAAAGAGUCUGAAGGCUGUGUGUACAAAAGAACCCCAAAACAUACACUCCUCCCUUAAAAACAUUUUUGGCAACCUGUAAGACAUGAGAGCAUAUCCAUUUGGUGUCCAACUUCAUGAACACAUCUAUAGUCCUAAGAAAUUAUCAUUGAGCCAUGGUUCUUAGUUAGCAAUUGCUAAGAGCUCUCAUGUCCCUCUAUGCCCUGGGCUGGAUGCUUAGUGUAAAACUGUGGGAUGAUAUAUACAUACCUGAUCCUUGGGAAAUACUCUGGGAAAACGAAGCAUUUGAAAAGCUGCUUCGCUGGUGAUAUAUGGAUCUAAUAUUCUGAUUUGGUAUUGUUUAUAGAUCAGUUUUAAGGCUGGUGUCUUCCAAAACCCUUGAGUAUUCUGAAAUAAAGAACACAGAAAAUGGGAUGUUGGGAAUGUAUUUUACUUUAGAGGGGGGAGGGGAAAUACUGAACAUAAUCUGAACCUAAAUAGUUUUGCCAACUUACUAUUUUUUUACCUAGCAGUAUUUCCACCAGCCACCUUAAAUCCUGUGGCUUAAAGACGACGAGAACCGCUGUAGUAUUGGGGUCAUAGUGACUGGAGUCUGAAAAGACAGACUCUGGAUAAAAAAGCCUGAAGGUUGUUCUUGUCCCAACUUCCUCUUCAUGGCCUAAGACAGGACCGUUGUUCAUUCUGUGAGUGGUAAGACAACAGCAUACAGGAUAAGUGGAGGGUAAGCCAUUUCAUCGCGUUCUGAGGUUUCAGAAUUGCGCAGGUGUCUGCACUCUGCAACCCCAAGAUUAAUAUUUUACAAUAAUGACAUUCUUUCUCACAAGACAGUCAUCUGUAUUCAAAUACUAAUUAUAGCAUCAGUCAUUCAGUCUGACCUGCACACAACGGAAAGAAAUGAAAAUACAGAGCCACGAGAGUUACUGCAGUUAGAAAGAGACCAUGGUGGAUAACCACACAAAGCCACUUUGGAUUGACAACUAAAGGCCCAGAAUUCUUGAGAAAGUUAUAUGCCUACAGGCUACACAGCCCUAAAAUACGAGGAUGUGUAUACUACAUAACUGAUAAGCAUGAAGAAUCACAUUUGAACUAAGCGUGAAGACCCACUGAAAUUGCGUUCUGGGCUGGAAAGAUGGCUCAGUGGUUAAAAGCUUUUGGUGUUCUUCCAGAGACCUGAAGGUCAGUUCCCAGCACCCACAUGCUGGCUCACAACUGUCCCUAACUCCAGUUCCAAGGAAUCCUGUGCCACCUUCUGGUUUCCACAGGCACCAGGCACACACAAACUGUGUGCUUACAUACAUGCACGCAAACACUCAUAAAAGUAAAUCCUUAUUGUUUUUUAAGUAUUCUGAAAUUAGCCCCAUAAAAAUUCUAUAUCACACUCAGCACAAUUAGAGGAAUGCCUUUUGCAACUGAACUAAAAACACUACAAAAGAUUACGACUGCUGGAUUAGUUCAAGGCCAAAGUCAAGACACUCACUGAGGACACACUAUAAAGGCAUUCUAUUAGAAAAAGAAAUGUUUUGUUUCUAAAACAAUGUUCCUUGGGAGGAUAAAUGCUGUUUUACUCUUUUGCCACCAGCUCUAUACUACUAGAUUCUUGCAGUGGGUUUCAAAAUGUACUCAUGAUAUUUCCCUACAAAGACUGGCUAAGGUUCUGAAAAGUAUCCAAGUCAAACAUCUCUACGUGGGAAAAUGGAUGAAUCUAAUUGUUCUAUAAAUUACCACAACUUCUUCAAAAUGGGUAAUAAAGAGAAAAUAAUAAUAAUCUUGUUCUGCAGCCAUUAGCUUUUAACCCAGAAAACCUCCAGAUGCACUGCAGGGCCUUCCCAGUGUGUGGCCACAGUGGCUGCUUAUUUGGAGUACGUCACCACAUCUAAUAAAGCAGCAAAUGUAACCUAGCUCCAGUUUGUCCACUUCCCCAAUUGUGCCCAAGCAUCUGCUGCCCAAAUAUAGCAACGACUCUUGAUGCCUCAGCCCAUUCCUUAUCCCUCAGGCAGCAUUGUCUGCUGCAGCCAGAAUGCUUUCAAAAAAUGCUUCAUUGAGAUCCUAUGUGAAAGGCUUCUGACGCUCCUAAUGGCCUUAAUAAUGUAGUCUUUGAACCUUAAAAAUCCCUGCAUAGCCUGCUCUUUGCCCACCUCAGCAGCUUCUUGUUAGACCACUCUCCUGAACUCUCUGCUGCUCUUCUGAAGGAUAAAAGCCUCCUGAGGAACUGCAAUACCCAUCCUGUCUGGACAGCUCCUCCACUUAUCUUCACAUAGCUAGUCUUGUAUGUGUCCUUUGGUCUAGCUUAAAUUAAAUUUCACCUCUAAACGGUAACCCUUUCCCAAGUAGUCACUUGAUAAUUCUGUAUCAUCUCUUUUAUUUGUCUAUGAUAUACUAUCUGCUUAUAUAUUUGAUUACUGUUUUUCCCAUUUUUUUUAGAAUGUAAAUACUAUAAGGUACAAACACACUCUUAUCAUGCACUAAUCUCCCUUACGUCUAGCUUUGUCCCUGGCAUAUCAAGUGGACUAGUUAAAUAUUUGCUGAAUCAGUGAUCUGAAACCUAGUUUACUAUAGCCAGUAACCAAGGCAGCAAAGCUGUAUAAUCAGGUGCAUAAAUGGCCAAGUACUCUUUAAACACAGCUGUCCUGGAGUAGAAAACCACCUUCUCUUCAAGCAGUUCUAGGUUAGUGGCUAGGAGAUGUACUUACCUUAUUAUUACAUCAUAGGAGUCAAUUGUUGCUCCUAAUGUCUUAUUCUUCAACACUCCUCCAUUACCAACCACCACACACCUUUUACAUGGCACUCUGUUGGGCAAACAGACAAGGGAAAGACUGAGUCAUCACAUUUACAAAACCGGGUGAUUCUAAGAACCUGCUCCUGCUUUCUGGAACCAAGUUAAAUUCCACUUGACACACAGGACCCUUUUCUCCAGCCUGCAGAGCCCGAACUCAUAUCUUUGCUCAACAUCUGCCCAGAGACAUAGAAAACAGGUAGUGGUUGUACUGUGAUUUCCCCACAAAUGACCCAACUGUUGAUGGAAAAUCACAACUUCCUCUUGCCCUCUGUUCCCCCCACCCUACAAAGGUCAGCCCUUCAUUCAGCAGGAUUGUCGGAUGGCGUGUGGAUGGGUAGUAGACCUUCACCAUGCUCAUAGUGCCUCUGACAAGCUUCCAGCCUAUUCUUUUUAACUCUUCUAUCCUAGACGCCUCGCCUCAUAACCAAUCCAGUUCUGUCGAGCUGACAUAAUGGGUCCCACUUCAGUGAGCAGAAGGCAGCUUUUUACAGACCAUCCCCCAUAUAGCUGCCAACUGACUUAGCACAGGUGUUUCCCUUAGAAAGCUAUUAAUAUGCAGUUACUAUAUAACUAACUAGGCCACAGGACUAAAGCAUUCUUCAUCUGACGGAUGGGGGGUAGGGAGCUAGUUUGUGCACAUUCCAUGGAGGCUACAGUUCUGCCAUCUCAAGGCUUCUGUCGCUCCUAGCUGGGGAGGGAUAAAAUUCCACCCAAGAGAUUGCAGUAUCCCUGGGAGCAGGGCUAAGCUAGAGAAAGGGGUGACAGAGACAGCAAGGAAGUCGGAACUUUAGGAUUUGGGCUAGUUUUAAGUGUCCCUGGCAAUGUCCUUGAAAUGUCUAUUUUUGGAGAAGCUCGCUAAGCAAUGCAGCAGUGCUCACUGGGCUUGGGCGACGACAGGAGCUAGACCGGGCUGUUUAGCCUAGUUGACUUCAGAACCUUCCAUGCCACAGAAACACUUGGGGACCAAAGAAAUGACAGGGAAAGCUACUAAAAAGGACUGUCAUUGUGCUUCCUUUGUCCUUUAAAUAAGACAUUUCUGUCAUUGCAUUUUUUGUUUACUUUGUUUGACAGAGAGCCCCACGUUCUUCCUUUUUCCUGUGUGGAUACUGGAAUUAAAUCCCUGAUGAAAGGCUUGGCAGAAAACACCCAUAUCUCCCGAGCCAUCUUACUAGCCCCAGGACUUGCUGUUUUUAAAGGAAUGAAGAUGUGAUGGGUUGAACUCCAGCUUGCAUGUUGGCCCCUAAAGAGGAAGCCAUGUACUGAGGAACGGCAGGAUCCAACACAGAGAGGCCUUGGCCCUGAUGACCACAGAACUGCUGAGACAGCCCUGCAGAGUGCAUGCAUGUAAACAAACAGAGACAGACAGACAGAUGGACGGAUGAAUGGACAGAUGGAUAGAUGAACACACAGAUGGACAGAUGAACAGGCAGACAGAAAGAGGGAGAGGGAGAGAGAGAGGUAUCUAACUUAUAAAUAUAACCAAUUUUUCUCCCUCACAGAUUUCUGAGCCAUUAUCAUCAUGGUGGGAACAUGGCAGCAUCCAGGCCAGCAUGGCUCUAGAGGAUCUGAGAGUUCUACAUCUUGUUCCUGCAGGCAAAAAGGAGAAAACUGACAGCUAGGACCAGGGGAUUAAAGCCCAUGCCCACAGUGACACACUUGCUCCCACAAGGCCACACCUAUUCCAACAAGGCCACACCUCCUAAAAGUAUCACUCCCUGUGGGCUAAGCAUUCAAACACAUUCGUCUAUUGGGCCAAACCUAUUCAAACCACCACAACAGAGGACUCCACCAAAGUAGCAGACUUGCUUGAUGAAGUGCUCUGAACCACACUAAUAGCACAGAGCUUAUAUUUGAAACAGAAAAAAAUAAAUGUGAAAGAGGAUAAAAUGAAGGGAAAAGGUUCUGUUGGAUGAAUUUGGCACAGGCUGAUGGGAGUGAGAACAUUUGUAGUAAUGCAGAGGAAAAGGUAGGGCGAGCCAGACCAAGUCAGUAAGAAAGAAGAAAACAGCUAGCUAAGGCACAGGCAAAUGGCUGAAGACCUCACUUUGCCAGAGAUAUCCUUGCAAA